GACGAACCCGGGCGGCGUGCCUCACACAUGCAAGCCGAACCGAGAAAUUUCUUCGGAGAUUACUUAGUGGCGAACGGGUGAGUAACGCGUUUGAAACAUGCCUUUCAGUGGGGGACAACAGAUGGAAACGACUGCUAAUACUGCAUAAUGUUAUUUGGGGGCAUCUCUGAAUAAAGCAAGCUGUAUGUGCUGAAAGAUGGUCUCGCGUCUGAUUAGCUAGAUGGCGGGGUAACGGCCCACCAUGGCGACGAUCAGUAGCCGGUCUGAGAGGAUGAACGGCCACAUUGGGACUGAGAGACGGCCCAGACUCCUACGGGAGGCAGCAGUGGGGAAUAUUGGGCAAUGGGGGAAACCCUGACCCAGCAACGCCGCGUGAAGGAAGAAGGCCUUCGGGUUGUAAACUUCUUUUACCAGGGACGAAGAACGUGACGGUACCUGGAGAAAAAGCAACGGCUAACUACGUGCCAGCCGCCGCGGUAAAAC
rnacentral:rRNA from 1 species